GUGGGAUUAGCUCAGUUGGUUAGAGCACUAGUUUGUGGCACUGGGGGCCGUGGGUUCGAAUCCCAUAUCCCACC
rnacentral:tRNA from 1 species